UAACCCCUACGGGGCGCAGCAGUGGGGAAUAUUGGGCAAUGGGCGCAAGCCUGACCCAGCAACGCCGCGUGAAGGAAGAAGGCUUUCGGGUUGUAAACUUCUUUUCUCAGGGACGAAGAAAGUGACGGUACCUGAGGAAUAAGCCACGGCUAACUACGUGCCAGCAGCCGCGGUAAUACGUAGGUGGCAAGCGUUAUCCGGAAUUACUGGGUGUAAAGGGUGUGUAGGCGGGGCUGCAAG
rnacentral:rRNA from 1 species